rnacentral:rRNA from 1 species
CCCUUAGAUGUUCUGGGCUGCACGCGCGCUACACUGGUGCGUUCAGCGAGUUUAGCACCUUAACAGAUAUGUUUGGGUAAUCUUCUGAAAACGCACCGUGAUGGGGAUCGAUUAUUGUAAUUAUUAAUCGUCAACGAGGAACUCCUAGUAAGUGUGAAUCAUCAGUUCGCGCUGAUUACGUCCCUGCCCUUUGUACACACCGCCCGCCGCUGCUACCGAUUGAGUGGUCCGGUGAAUUAUUCGGACCGGUGGACUGUGGGGAAACCCGCGGCCUGCUGGGAAGUCUUGUGAACCUUAUCACUUAGAGGAAGCAGAAGUCGUAACA